rnacentral:rRNA from 1 species
UACAGAGGUCUCAAGCGUUGUUCGGAUUCAUUGGGCGUAAAGGGUGCGUAGGUGGCGCGGUAAGUCGGGUGUGAAAUCUCGGAGCUUAACUCCGAAAUUGCAUUCGAUACUGCCGUGCUUGAGGACUGGAGAGGAGACUGGAAUUCAUGGUGUAGCAGUGAAAUGCGCAGAUAUCAGGAAGAACACCCGUGGCUAAGGCGGUUCUCUAGUACGGUACUGACGCUGAGACGCGAAAGCGUGGGGAGCGAACAGG